rnacentral:rRNA from 1 species
GACGAACGCUGGCGGCGCGCUUAACACAUGCAAGUCGAACGGAAAGGCCUGCUUUCCCUUGUGGAUUGCGGGUACUCGAGUGGCGAACGGGUGAGUAACACGUGAGUGAUCUGCCCCCAACUUGGGUAUAAGCCUGGGAAGCUGGGUCUAAUUCCCGAUAGGACUGCAGGGUGGUGCCUGUGGUGGAAAACGAUUUUCUAGUGGUUGGGGAUGAGCUCGCGGCCUAUCAGCUUGUUGGUGGGGUAAUGGCCUACCAAGGCGGCGACGGGUAGCCGGCCUGAGAGGGUGGACGGCCACAUUGGGACUGAGAUACGGCCCAGACUCCUACGGGAGGCAGCAGUGGGGAAUAUUACACAAUGGGCGGAAGCCUGAUGCAGCGACGCCGCGUGGGGGAUGACGGCCUUCGGGUUGUAAACUCCUUUCGACCGCGAGGAAGCCACCUGGUUGGAAGGGUGGUGACGGUAGUGGUAGAAGAAGCACCGGCUAACUACGUG